GUCUGGGGAAUGGCUCGGCUCGGGCGCCGAUGAAGGACGUGCCAAGCCGCGAUAGUGCGUCGGGUAGGCGCAAGGAACCUGUGAUCCGACGAUGUCCGAAUGCGACUUCGUGGCCGCAAGGCCGUUCCGUGAGGAACGGGAACCCCCGGGAUCGAAGCAUCCUAGUACGGGGAGGAAAAGGAAUCAAUCGAGAUGCCCUCAGUAAAGGCGAUCGAAGAGGGCGUUGGGCAAACCGAAUCCCGCGCCGAAAGGCGCUGGAGGUGUGGUGUUCGGACUCCGGCACACCUUCCCUCGUUAACGCGAUACUCCGGUGGAAUGCCGAGGCCAAAGAGGGUGACAGCCCCGUAGCGGUACGCGAGGAAGGUGAUUCGGGGUCUCCCGAGUAGCGCGGGUCGGAUAUCUCGCGCGAAUCUGGGUGGCAUUGACAUCCAACCCGAAAUACGUCCCGAGACCGAUAGCGCAGUAGUAGCGUGAGUGAAAGCUGAAAAGUGCCCUUGACGGGAGGUUAAAAGUGCCUGAAACCAGACAGUUACAGACCGAUACGGCGUGGAAGCGACGAAGUCCGAAAGGAUGGAGCAGCGUCGUGUCGUCCGUUUUGAAAAACGGGCCAGGGAGUUCUGAUCCACGGCGAGGUUAACCACGGAAGUGGGAAGCCGUAGCGAAAGCGAUGAGCGCGCAACCCCGCAAGGGGCGAGGCGCAUCGUGUGCUCGCGAGGAGUCGUGGGUGCGAGACCCGAAGCCGGUCGAUCUAUGCCUGGGCCGGUCGAAGCCUACCGAAAGGUGGGUGGAGGACCUAACCGGUAUUGAUGUGCAAAUCAUUCGGAUGACCUGGGCAUAGGGGUGAAAGGCCAAUCUAGGCCGGGAAUAGCUGGUUCCCCUCGAAACCAGUCGCAGCUGGACCUCGGACGAGGCAGACGGUGGGGUAGAGCGACCGAUUGGGCGCUUAGGCGGAGAAAUCCGUCGGUGUCCUGUCAAACUCCAAACCUGCCGCCGCCGUAGACUCCGGGAGUCGGGCAUCUGGGGUAAGCUUGGUGUCCGUAAGGGUAAGAGCCCAGCCUGCGGUUAAGGUCCCCAAGUGUCGACUAAGUGCAACCGAAGGGAGUUCGCGGUCUCAGACAGCUGGGAUGUGGGCUUAGAAGCAGCCAUCAUUCAAAGAUAGCGUAACAGCUCACCAGCCGAGAUCGUGGGCCCCGAAAAGGGACGGGGCUAAGUCGAUCACCGAUACCGCAGAGCACCGAAAGGUGAUCUUGUAGAGGGGCGCCGUGCGCGGGUGGAAGUCGGGCCGUGAGGUCCGGUGGACCGCGUUCGAACGUGAAUCCUGGGAGGAGUAGCAGCAAAGAGCGGCGAGAAUCCGCUCCGCCGAAAGGGCCAGGGUUCCUCGGCAAUGUUCGUCAGCCGAGGGUUAGUCGGUCCUAAGUGUUCCCUUAACCGAGGAACGCGAAAGGGAAGCAGGUUAAUAUUCCUGCACCGUGCGGACCCCUGCUUGGCACCUGACGCAUCCGGGUACGCUGAGCGUUUAUAUGCCAAUCCGCUCAAGCGCCGAAACCCGCGGAGAGCCGUAAUGGCGAGAAGUGGGUGAAUGCGCGAGUAGGAGCAAUCUUCAGCGGAUCCCGGGUGCCCGUGAAAAGGGUGUCAAGGCCAGUCCGUGCGUCCGUACCAAGAACUGACACAGGUGCCCCUGGGUGAGAAGCCCAAGGCGUGUCGGCGUUAAUCCAGGCGAGGGAAUUCGGCAAAUUAGCCCCGUAACUUAGGGAUAAGGGGUGCCAGCCACGGUGGUGGCUGGUCUCAGUGACAAGGGAGCUCCGACUGUUUACUAAAAACAUAUCUCGCCGCAAGUCCGAAAGGAUUUGUAUGGCGGGUGAAGCCUGCCCAGUGCCGGUAUCUGAAAACCCGGUUCAACGGGACGAAGGACCGGUAAACGGCGGGGGUAACUAUGACCCUCUUAAGGUAGCGUAAUACCUUGUCGCUUAAUUGGCGACUUGCAUGAAGGCCCAACGAGAGCUCUACUGUCCCCGCCUGGAAGCCGGUGAAACUGACUUACUGGCGCACAGUCCAGUACCGUCCACCUGAAAGCGAAGACCCCGUGGAGCUUUACUGCAGCCUGUCGCUGCCGUAUGAGCCUGAUUGUGUAGCGUAGGCGGGACUCGUUACCAGGGCCGACCGCUAGGCCGGUUCCGAGAGGCCGAUGAAACACCGCCCUAUUGGGCUCGUACGGCUAACACGUACGCGUGGAAAACGGUAGGUGGGCAGUUUGGGUGGGGCGCCACGCCCUCAAAAAGGUAACAAGGGCGCCCAAAGGUGAGCUUAGGAGGGUCAGAAAUCCUCCGAUAACUGUAAGGGGAAAAGCUCGCCUGACGUGGACUUGCCCAACGAGAGUCCACGACACGAAAGUGGGGCCUAGCGAACCAAUGAGCCUCAUUAAUGGGGGCCAUUGAUGUCAGAAAAGUUACCCCGGGGAUAACUGAGUUGUCUUCAGCUAGAGUUCCUAUCGACCUGAAGGCUUGCUACUUCGACGUCGGCUCUUCCUAUCCUGGUGGUGCAUGAGCUGCCAAGGGUGGGGUUGUUCGCCCAUUAAAAGGGAUCGUGAGCUGGGUUUAGACCGUCGUGAGACAGGUUUGUUGCUUUUUGGUGGACGCGUUUUGGUGCCUGAGGGGAAGGAUCCUUAAGUACGAGAGGAACGGGGAUUCGGCGCCUCUAGUGUAUCGGUUGUCUGGCAAGGCAUCGCCGAGCAGCCACGCGCUACGUGGAGAAGGGCUGAAAGCAUCUAAGCCCGAAACCACCCUCAAGACGAGGCACCUUACCGCCGUCCUAGUCGAGGACGUUGAUAGGGCGGGGGUGUACGGCGG
rnacentral:rRNA from 1 species